rnacentral:rRNA from 1 species
AAUAUUGCGCACUGGGGGAAACUCUGACGCAGCAACGCCGCGCGAAGGAUGAAGGUUUUCGGAUUGUAAACUUCUUUGAUCGGGGAAGAAAAUGACGGUACACGAGGAAGAAGCCACGGCUAACUACGAGCCAGCAGCCGCGGUAAUACGUAGGGGGCGAGCGUUGUUCGGAAUUACUGGGCGUAAAGGGUGGGUAGGCGGCCGAUUAAGUCAGAUGUGAAAUACCAUGGCUCAACCAUGGGGGUGCAUUUGAAACUGGUUGGCUUGAGUGCAGGAGAGGAAAGCGGAAUUCCUAGUGUAGCGGUGAAAUGCGUAGAGAUUAGGAGGAACACCAGUGGCGAAGGCGGCUUUCUGGACUGUAACUGACGCUGAGGCACGAAAGCGUGGGGAGCAAACAGG